rnacentral:rRNA from 1 species
GACGAACGCUGGCGGCGUGCCUAAUACAUGCAAGUCGAGCGAAUCAAUAGGAGCUUGCUCCUGUUGGUUAGCGGCGGACGGGUGAGUAACACGUGGGCAACCUGCCUGUAAGAUCGGGAUAACUUCGGGAAACCGGAGCUAAUACCGGAUAAUCCUUUCCUACACAUGUGGGAAAGCUGAAAGACGGUUUCGGCUGUCACUUACAGAUGGGCCCGCGGCGCAUUAGCUAGUUGGUGAGGUAACGGCUCACCAAGGCGACGAUGCGUAGCCGACCUGAGAGGGUGAUCGGCCACACUGGGACUGAGACACGGCCCAGACUCCUACGGGAGGCAGCAGUAGGGAAUCUUCCGCAAUGGACGAAAGUCUGACGGAGCAACGCCGCGUGAGCGAUGAAGGCCUUCGGGUCGUAAAGCUCUGUUGUUAGGGAAGAACAAGUAUCGGAGUAACUGCCGGUACCUUGACGGUACCUAACCAGAAAGCCACGGCUAACUACGUGCCAGCCGCCGCGGUAACAC